GGCAUUAGUCACCCUGCUGACAUGCCUGUCUUGUCUGCCUGUCUGUCUCUGGCUUAUAAAUACACCACAACAUCACUGUCAGUACACAGUGGGCGGGAGAGACAGGAAGAGAGGAAGAUGUCACAGGUGAAGGAAAUAAUGACGCAAAGGAUGGGUAGAGAAGAGAGAGACACACCUUAAAGAAUAAUAGUUGGGGGGGAGUUGAAGUUGUAGACAACAAAUAGAUUUGGUGUGGUCUCUACAGUGCAAAAGAAUGGUGAUGGAACAGUUAUUUGUGGCUAUGCUAAUGAUGUCUGCACACCUAGCAGUCUCAUAUCCUCUGACUACAGAGAGCUAUUACAUGGAUGGAGGGAGACAAUGCAGACUGUGUCCACCAGGUCAUUAUCAGAAGUCCUGUUCAGAGUGCUCUCCCUGUCGAGAUGGUUCCUACACAACACGAUUGAAUGCAGAGUCCAGUUGUCAUUCCUGUUUCAAAGACUGCAAACGUGAUUUGCACCUGGUGGAGGAUGAGCCGUGUACUACUGUAUCGAACGCUAGAUGUCGCUGUGAGGCUGGUUUUACCUGCACCGACAAAGACGACCAGACAGGAAACUGUAGAGACUGUGAGAAGAUCCCUCAGCUGCCCCCACCUCCCCUGCCACCUAGCAAUGUAGUGGGCAUCAGAAACAACCAGACAGGAACUUCCUCUGAACACAGCAGGACUUCCUCUCCCAGUGGACGCUGUCAACCUCCCAACUGUGACACUCCACGAUCACCAGUCUCACAAGCAGGCAAUGCCACUCAUCACACCACAGCUGACACCAGCAAACACUUGGCAGCCAUUUUGUGUCCUAUGGUGGUCAUUGGAAUCCUAGCCGUUAUCAUUCUGUUAUGUAUCCGUCGCCCAGGAGAUGAAGCCUGUUUCAAACAAGCUCUCAAGUUCUGUAACAAGGGAGUAAGAGAAGCGUCGCCUAACAAGACCAAAGAGCCAACUCCUCAGCACCGUGCCAGAGAGACACAGCCCAGUAUUAAGCACCAGGCAGUGGAUCCACCACCUAUUACAGCAGCAAAUAUGGGCCCAGUCCAUGUCCACAAUGCUGGAACAGUCAUCUUCAGUUUACUCAACCAGUUCACUGGUAUGGGUGGAGGGACGGAAGAGAGAGGGCAGAAAGAGAGGGAUGAGGAAGGAUGUCCGGCCCACCCCACACCCUCCCCUAACAUCCAUCUAUCCCAGGAGGAAAGGGAUGGGGAGAUGGACUGUGUAUUCUUCCCUUCACAGGAACAAGGGAAGGACAGUCAUGUUUCCAAGGAGGAGGUGCAAUGAGGGGAGGGGGAUUGAGGACAGAGGACGCACCAAGUGAAAGCUUCCCUUCUAGGAUCAGUUUAGCCAACCCUACAUCCUAAUGUUAAUCAUAAGGAGGAUUACAACUUACCACUGACCCGGAUCAGUGGUAAGGGACAACAUCUACCUGGGGCUCUAUUCAGUCUGUAUCACUACAGAUUGCAUGAUAGAAACAUAGAGGUCAUUUCUGAUUGUGUUUAAUGUGUUUAAUAUGUGUUUAAUGUGAAAGCAGUUGACACAGGAACAUUGCCUUUACAUUUCUUUCAGGCUGUAAAGCUGAACUUCCACAAUACAGAUUGAAUAGAGCCUUUUUUUUUUUUAACUAGGCAAGUCAGUUAAGAACAAGUUCUUAUUUUCAAUGACAGCCUAGGAACAGUGGGUUAACUGCCUUGUUCAGGGGUAGAACGACAGAUUUUUACCUUGUCAGCUCAGGGAUUCGAUCUUGCAACCUUGUGGUUACUAGUCCAACACGCUAACCACUAGGCUACCUGCCACUCUUACUCUCAGAACACUGGUGAAUCCCAAAACUCUAGAAUGGCCAUUAUUUCCUGUCCUAGACCUAGACAGAUCUAGACAUCUUACUAUGGUGGUCAUGUACACAUCCACUUGCUCUCCUUUUAUUGAACUGUGUAAAAAGCUUUCAGUCUCAACUGCUGCAAACUGUUUUUUUCUGUUUUCAUGUGGCACCUUGAACUGUUUUUGCACAAAUUAAAAGCAAAAUAUGAAAUAUAAUUUUUCAAUGAAUACAGGUGAUGGGGCGAUUGUAUGACAUUACAGUAGGCCUGUAACAUUUGUUCUUUAUUUUAAAUACAGCGCUGUGUGUUUUAAACAGCCACUACUAUGUAAGAGUAAACACUAGCAUAAAGCAUAGAUACAGCAAAAAGCAUAAUAAUUGUAAUGAAGGUGUAAAACAUCUUCAACAUAAACAUGUACAGUACAUGUAUUCAGCACACAAAUGUCUGUCUGUCUGUCUGUCUCGCGUGCGUGUGUCUGUCUCUCUCGUUCACACUCUUCCAGUUACCCUCCGCUCUUUCUCGGUCACAGACUCCCACUCAUCUUUAGCCUGUGUCUUCAUACUUCAAAGUGUCUUUUUGUCCUAUUUUCUUGUCCUUUCUGAAAGUUCUAGAUACAGAAGCCACUGCAUUAAAACAAUACAGCAGCCUGUCUAGCCUUCAGGUUAGUUUAACUUCAAUGGGAAUGUGAGGUAGUCUGUUUGUCUCCCGGGUCUCCCAGCUCGCUGUCCCAUUGUGAGUUCUCAUCCUCUCCUUUGACACCGACUUCCUCCAUCAUACGUCCAGUAGCAGCUCUGGCUUUCCACACACUUCCUGGACCGGCAUGGGCACUUCCUCCUCCGCUGUGCUCUGAUUGGCUGGAGUUGUCUUUUUGGGAGACCAGAAGC
rnacentral:lncRNA from 1 species